UGGUAAUAUUAAAACAUCCGCAAUCAACCAUUUAUUUGGUGCUUGAAAAUGAAGAAAAUUGAGGACCGCAUCAGCAACAUGACCGUGACCCGAAUAGGAACAAUUGUGUCGAUGCACUGCGAAGGUCACAUGGUCAGUAUUCUAGAUUUAAAAGCAUCGAAGUGACUACCGAGGACAGUUUUCAUUUUAAACAACUGUGGACUUCUAUUUAUUUGAUAUUGUGGAACUUGCUACGGAAUGACAACACCGAAUUCAAUGUAAGAUUUGAUUGAAAAGGUAGAAUUGCGAUUGUGCCCCGAGUUUGCAAAUAUGCCGAAA